CAAUGCUCAUUCACCAUUCUGAAAAUCCUAGGACCGUUAAGAAUUAUGCUAGAUCUACUCUGCCUAUGCUCUAAAAUGGAACAGCAAAGCGUGGAUGGCAGCAUAUUUAUAGCAUUUACUGAGUAGUUUAAGUCCACUGUUGAGAUCUACUGCUUAGAAAAAAAAAAGAUUCCUUUCAAAAUAUUACUGCUCAUUGACAAUACACCUGGUCAUUUAAGAGCUCCACUGGAGAUUUACAAGGAGAUUGAUGUUAUUUUCAUAACUGCCAACACAACAUCCACUCUGUAGCCCAUGGGUCAAAAUGUAGUUUCGACUUUCAAAUCUUAUGUAUGAAUUGGAUUUCAUAAGUAUAUAGCUGCCAUGGGUAGUGAUUCCUCUGAGGCAUCUGGGCAAAGUAAAUUGAAACCCUCUGGAAAGGAUUCACUAUUCUAGACUCCAUUAAGAACAUUCAUGAUUCAUAAAAAGAGGUCAAAAUAUCCACAUUAACAGGAGCUUGGAAGAAGUUGAUUCCAGCCCUCAUGGAUGACUUUGAGGGGUUCAAGACUUUCUUUACAAGAAAAUAUGAAGAUGAGGUGGCAAUAGCAAGAGACCUAAAAUUGACCUAAAGAAGAACAUAUAUUCUGCAGUUUUCUCCAUAAAACUGAUCACAUGGGAUUAUGGUCAAGAGUAUGUCAUACAGAGCUGUACUGAAACAUAUGUCCUGCUGCUUCCUAACUAGUUAUGUGAAACUGGCUUCACAAAGAAGCCUGAAAUUCAGAAUGCCUGAGGACCUGGCUGUGGUCACAGAGCUGGAGAGGGGUGUAUCUGACUCUGAAGACUUCACUCUCACUACAUUUCCUGGCCUGAGCACACGUCCUCAUGGGAAUGAUACAAUGGAUGUUUGGGGGAAUUUUUAA
rnacentral:lncRNA from 1 species